CCUACGAGAGGCAGCAGUGGGGAAUAUUGGGCAAUGGGCGAAAGCCUGACCCAGCAACGCCGCGUGAAGGAAGAAGGCCUUCGGGUUGUAAACUUCCUUUGACAGGGCAGAGCAGAAGACGGUACCUGUCGAAUAAGCUACGGCUAACUACGUGCCAGCAGCCGCGGUAAUACGUAGGGGGCAAGCGUUGUCCGGAUUUACUGGAUGUAAAGGGCGUGUUGGCGGGCUGACAAGUCCGAUGUGAAAUCCGGGGGCUCAACCCCCGAACUGCAGUUGAAACUGUUGGUCUUGAGGAUCGGAGAGGUAGGCGGAAUUCCUAGUGUAGCGGUGAAAUGCGUAGAUAUUAGGAGGAACACCAGUGGCGAAGGCGGCCUGCUGGACGACAACUGACGGUGAGGCGCGAAAGCGUGGGGAGCAAACAGGAUUAGAUACCCCUGUAGUC
rnacentral:rRNA from 1 species